rnacentral:rRNA from 1 species
UACGAGGGGAGCUAGCGUUGUUCGGAAUUACUGGGCGUAAAGCGCACGUAGGCGGAUUGCCAGUCAGGGUGAAUCCGGGACUCCGACCUCGGAACGUGCCUCUGAUACAGCAAGUCUUGAGUCCGGAAGAGGUGGGUGGAAUUCCUAGUGGUGAAGAGGUGAAAUUCGUAGAAUAUUAGGAAGAACACCAGUGGCGAAGGCGGCCCACUGGAUCCGGUACUCGACGGCUGAGGUGCGAAAGCCAGGGGAGCAA